CCCUUAGAUGUUCUGGGCUGCACGCGCGCUACACUGAAGCGUUCAACGAGUAUUCACCUUGCCCGGGAGGGUUGGGUAAUCUUUUGAAAACGCUUCGUGAUGGGGAUAGAUUAUUGCAAUUAUUAAUCUUCAACGAGGAAUUCCUAGUAAGCGCGAGUCAUCAGCUCGUGCUGAUUACGUCCCUGCCCUUUGUACACACCGCCCGUCGCUCCUACCGAUUGAGUGGUCCGGUGAAUAAUUCGGACUGCAGCACUGCUUGGUCUCCAGGCUUUGCAGCGGAAAGUUUAGUGAACCUUAUCACUUAGAGGAAGGAGAAGUCGUANCA
rnacentral:rRNA from 1 species